rnacentral:lncRNA from 1 species
CAAAAUUGAUUAAUAAAAUGAUAUAACUUUAUCAUUACCAUCAUUAAAAAAUGAAAAAAAAAUCACAAGAAUUAAGGGCUAAAAUUACUCUUGAUGAACAUUUAUAGGCACAAGUUUUUAAUUAAUAUUUAUGUAAUUAAAAAUAGUUCCUUUAAGAUUAUUAUUAUAGCCAUGCCUAGUCGCUCAUCAAGAACAUUUGUGCGAGGUUGCUAUAUAGUAAAAUGGGGAGCUACACAGUUUCAAAUUCACUAGUGCCCAAUUCCAGGUGCAUGGGCAUUACUAUGGAAUGAUGUAGGUGGGAUUGUAGUCCCGAGCAAUGUAAUUCAUAGUAUCCUUUUUAUUCCUAAAAAAAAGGGACUUCUAUUGAUAAGGAAGCAAAAUAAAGGGCAAUUUAUACUAAUUAAUUUUUAAAAUUCAAUUUGAAGUGAACUUCUCUUUUUCACUAGAAUUAAGAAAAGAAAAACGUAAAACAACUAAUAGAUACUAAAAUAAUUAUUCAGUCAAAAGAUGUUCUAAAUUCUUUUAUUCUCUCACGCCUCCUCCUUUUAUCAAUUGCUAUCUUCUUCUUUUUCAUUUUUUCCCCUUCUUUUACCUAAUUGCUAUCUUCUUCUUUUUCUUUUUGUCCCCUUCUUUUACCUAAUUGCUAUUUUCUUCUUUUUCUUUUUGUCCCCUUCUUUUACCUAAUUGCUAUCUUCUUCUUUUUCUUAUUUCCCCCCUUCUUUUACCUAAAUCAGAUUGCUUGGGACUUAGCUUGAACAAACAAACAUCCCAAUUUUGAGAUUUUUCUCCAUUGAAACCACAUCACAUCAACAAAAUCCCAAAUCUGAAUCACUUCAAUUUCACAGGUGAGUUUAAAGUCCUCGUGUAUAUAUAGACGCGUAUAUAUACGUGUACUACAUACGUAUGUAAACUGUAAAGUCUUUCAAUACUGUAUGUUCUUCUUUUAUGAUCUGAAAUUUGUUAAAUUUUGUUUGUUUUUCUUGUAGAAUUGAUGGUCUGCUUUUAGAUUUUUGUUACAGAAUGAGUUUCAACUAUUAUUAAGGAUCUUUCCACUUUGCUGCUGAAGGUAACAACGGCGUAGAGAUGAGGUUUGCCAUUUCCCUUCAUCUUCUCCACUGCUAACUAGCAAAAAUUCUAAUACUUGAUAAUGGUAAUUUUCAGUUUUGAUUAUUCAAUUAUUAUUUUUCUUAUUUUUUAUUUAUAUCUAAUUUGUUUCAUUAUAUUUCUAAAUCUCUAUCGAUGAGUAUUUUAUUAGGGAUUUGAUUUCCUGUUAGUGGAUCUGAUCUGUUCUUUCUGUACGAGGCAACCAUAUUAGAAUAUCUUUUUUUUUGUCUUAAUUCAAGAUUUUAUUUCUGAAUCGUAAUUUAGAAGUUGCUGAAAGUUUUAUUUGGUUGUUGAGAAAAUGCUUGGAGAGCUAAUGUAAGUAUUAGAUUAUACGAAUGCAAUAACCUGUUGCUGAAAACAAAAUCUGUUAGAUAUAGCUAUUAUGCUUUUUAAGUGUUUUUUGUGUCACAUUGAUUUGGACUUUGGUAUAUUAGAAUGACUGAAGUCUAGGCUCUAAUUAAUUUAUUGACUGGUUUUUGCCUUUUUAGCUUGAACUUGAAACUGUUUCCUUUGUGAAGGUUUGUGCUUUACCACCUUGAUUGGUCUGUUGUUAUACAGGAACUCAAAGAUUGUAUUAAGGGAUUGCUGUAUUUGGUGGGAGUGGUAGAAUAUCAAAUCCGGGUUUUCAGAACUGAUUGAUACGGAUAGAGAGAGACACAGAGCCAGAGAAACAGGUUUUCUAUUUCAACUCAAUGUUUUUAGUUUUUGUUAGGAUGAAUGCAUGGAUUAUAACCCCCCAAAUAAAUAAAGCAUGCCAAAACAAAGAAAGGGUUAAAUUUCAGUUUGGGUUUUGAUUCCAGAAACCCUAUGCUAACAUCAUUUGUUUUGUUAAUUAUCUAAGCAGCCAAUAUCAUCUAUUUCAUCAUGCAUAAAAGUUCAGGCAACAAAACUCAUCCUAUGAAAAAAAGAUAAACUCAC